rnacentral:rRNA from 1 species
UACGGGGGGGGCAAGCGUUGUCCGGAUUUACUGGGCGUAAAGAGCGCGCAGGCGGUCGAUCAAGUCGAGUGUGAAAGCCCCCGGCUCAACUGGGGAGGGUCAUUCGAUACUGAUCGACUCGAAGGCAGGAGAGGGUAGUGGAAUUCCCGGUGUAGUGGUGAAAUGCGUAGAUAUCGGGAGGAACACCAGUGGCGAAGGCGACUACCUGGCCUGUUCUUGACGCUGAGGCGCGAAAGCUAGGGGAGCAAACGGG